GUCUUUCUGUAGUGUCUCACCCCAUCAUUUCUUCUUUCUGGAAUAUUUAUGCAUUUCUAAAUUAUUUCCAAAGGAAAGGAAGAGGGAAGGGUAGCAAGCAAGAGAGACAAAGAGAUCUUCAUUUGCUGAAUCACUACGUAAGUGGCUGCAAUAGCUAAGGCUGGGUCAGCCUGAAGGCAGGAGACCCGAACUUAAUUUGAGACCAGUGCGUUGGCUAUGUAUCUGCUAACAUGACUACCAGAAUACACACACACAGGAACCUGGAGGAGGAAGCCAGGCUGGGACUUGAGCCCAGGCACACAGCUGCAGGGGACGAUGUUCCUGAACAUCUUACCUGUUGUGAAGAGACCCAGGCCACACCAGAGUCCCCAAAGUCUCAGGUCCACAAAAGCUAGAUGGGAAGAAAGCCAAGGGAGCCAGGAGACCAUGUCCCGGUUGCUCCACUUCCCAUCCAGCUCUCUGCUUGUGGUCUGGGAAAGCAGUGGAGGAUGGCCCAAAGCCUUGAGACCCUGCAUCCAUGUGGGAGACCCAGAAGGAGCUCCAGGCUCCUGGCUUCGUAUUGGCUCAGCUCCAGCCAUUGCUUCCACAUGACUAUUUAAUGGACACAGCAAAACCUGCCUAAGCACAGAGAAGACUGCGGGUGGUUUAUAACGUGGCAUGUCUCCCUGGAGGAAAAGCUUGGGAAAGGUGGAGUGACUUCCAGGCAGUUCUUAAGAAAGCAAAACUUGUUUGGAAGCUAAUUCUGCCAUCCUGCUUUACAACCACAGAGAAGCAUGGACAGGGAGAGAUGUGCUUCUCUGUUCUAGUGAAAAAGGCAGGACUCUGAAAUCAGCCCUGGGGACCACAACUCCUGAGACUGAUG